rnacentral:misc_RNA from 1 species
UCCGGUUUGUCACCGGCAGUCUCGCAUGAGUCCCCAACUUAAUGCUGGCAACAUGCGACGGGGGUUGCGCUCGUUGCGGGACUUAACCCAACACCUCACGGCACGAGCUGACGACAACCAUGCACCACCUGUGCACGACGCCGAAGCACACCAGGUUUCCCUGGCUUUUCCGUGCAUUUCAAGCCCUGGUAAGGUUCUUCGCGUUGCUUCGAAUUAAGCCACAUGCUCCGCCGCUUGUGCGGGCCCCCGUCAAUUCCUUUGAGUUUUAGCCUUGCGGCCGUAGUCCCCAGGCGGGGUGCUUAAUGCGUUAGCUGCGGCACGGAGGGAGUGGAUAACCCCCCACACCUAGCACCCAUCGUUUACGGCGUGGACUAC